UACAGAGGGUGCAAGCGUUGUUCGGAAUUAUUGGGCGUAAAGCGCGUGUAGGCGGCUUUGCAAGUCGGGUGUGAAAGCCCUCAGCUCAACUGAGGAAGUGCGUCCGAAACUGCAGAGCUUGAGUACCGGAGAGGAUGGCGGAAUUCCCCAAGUAGAGGUGAAAUUCGUAGAUAUGGGGAGGAACACCGGUGGCGAAGGCGGCCAUCUGGACGGAUACUGACGCUGAGACGCGAAAGCGUGGGGAGCAAACAGG
rnacentral:rRNA from 1 species